UACAGAGGCCCCAAGCGUUAGGCGGAAUCACUGGGCUUAAAGCGUGUGUAGGCGGCGGCCUAAGUACCUUGUGUAAUCCCACGGCUCACCCGUGGAGCUGCUCGGUAUACUGGGUCGCUUGAGCCACUUAGGGGCUACCGGAACAAAUGGUGGAGCGGUGAAAUGCGUAGAUAUCAUUUGGAACGCCAAUGGUGAAAACAGGUAGCUGGGAGUGUGCUGACGCUGAGACACGAAAGCCAGGGGAGCAAACGGG
rnacentral:rRNA from 1 species